rnacentral:ncRNA from 2 species
GGGGAAGCCGGUCGAAAUCCGGCGCUGACCCGCAACGGUAGGCCCCCUCAUCGGGGCGAGCCCGACCACCC